GCAGCAUUCAUCAAUGGAAGGAAAAGCCUUACCACACACUCAGGGAUCUGAGGCAGCUAAGGAAGUCUGACUGCUCUCAUUGCCCUUCAGCUGUGGCUCACAGUGCCUGAGCUGGUUUCAGGUGGGGAAGCCCCACACAACUACCCUGGUUUGGUUUAGAGAAGCAUAUGUAUGAUGAUUUCCAAAAUCACCAGAGCUCUGGAAAGAGCCUUUCCUUUUAAAAUUGCUUCUUGAGAGCUAUCAAGGACUUCCCAACUUUAAAGUCACAUUUGGGGCAAAACAGAAUUACCAAGUACCAGAAAAAGGAAACUCACAAAGCAGGAGCCCAGAGCUGCCAGAUGAGCAGAACAAGACCAGGUUGGGGUCCUGGAGCAUGUCUUUCCUCGAUGCCCACUGUUCACCCAGCAGCUCUCAGCACCUUCCUGGUUUGUAUAUAUGCAUCCUUGUGUAUCCCUGCAAAAGUCUCCUUCUUUCCAACACCUCUGAGACCUGGCUUUCUGCCUGCCUCUCCCAUUCACACUGCAGCUGGCCCCAGUACCACACACCUGUCUGCAACUUCAUUAGAUGUGACCUAUAAAAAGUGGGGAGGAAACACUCAGUCCUCUUCCCCAGGUCUGCACCCAGCUCAAGUGAUAACUACCACAUAUGUGAAAACUAGGAGCCCUCCCCUCCCAUAUGUGCAGCCUCUCAAGUGAAGACCGCUCAUUAUGCGCAAUCAAGCAGGACUUUCUAUGAAUGCAGCUCCAGUGAGUCUGGUCCCAAACUAAGCCAUCCUCCUAUGAUGAAACUUUGUUGGAGUUCUCCCUUGAAUCAGAUCCUGAGACAAAUGUUGCCCUCAAUUUUCUCUAUUCUGAUUCUCCUAGUUAGAUUUACCCUAUCACAAACUGAAGGGGAAAAACUGAGUUGUUACUUCAUGAUUUGGCCUAUGGUUUGGACUUCUCUGUAAUGAAGUAAAGUAUAGCAUCCUCAGAAUAAAGGAAGUAGGUAUAAAGAUAUUGUA
rnacentral:lncRNA from 1 species